AGCAGCCGCGGUAAUUCCAGCUCCAAUAGCGUAUAUUAAAGUUGUUGCAGUUAAAAAGCUCGUAGUUGAACUUUAGGCCCGUCCGAGUGGUCCGUCCUCUGGGCGAGCACUGGUUCGUGGCGGGUCUCACCUUCUGGCGAGCGUGGAUGCCAUUCGGUUGGUGUCCGCGGGAACCAGGACCUUUACCUUGAAAAAAUUAGAGUGUUUAAAGCGGGCUUUGACGCUUGAAUACAUUAGCAUGGAAUAAUGAAAUAGGACGAGGUUCUAUUUUGUUGGUUUAGGAACCUUCGUAAUGAUUAAUAGGGAUAGUUGGG
rnacentral:rRNA from 1 species